AGGACUGUAACUCAGUGGCAGAGUACGGAUCUUAUAAAUCCGCAGUCGCAGGUUCGACUCCUGCCAGUCCUACCA
rnacentral:tRNA from 1 species